ACACUCCCGUGGACAGAAGAAUAGAGGAAGCGCCGCCGCGCACGCGCGCACCCAUCCCUGCCGCCGCCACUCGAUGCUCGCCACCGCCGCGCCUCAUCCCCUCCUCUUUCACCCUGCAAUCAACCACUCCCAGCCUCCCUUCCCCGCAGCUUCUACCCUGGCCGAACGGAAUGGCCAAGACGCCGGCAUCUCCAACCCCGACCCCCAGGUCCCUGACACAUCGCGACGGAACGUGGGCGCACGGAGCUUCACGGCACGACGACUGGCGGCGCGCAGGUGGGGCAGAACGGGAUUUAGUCAGGCAGCGCGGCCUGGUUGUCCCAUUCGAGGGUAGGCCGCAUGAAGCUGUCACGCUCGCCGACGAGCACCUGGACCGACCUGUGCUUGAACGAGUCAUCAGUGUGGGGCGAGGCUGGUCAGCUGGUGCACUCCUCGCGCAUUUCCUGCCGGUCAAGCUUCAGCAGGAAAUACUUUGGCAUGGUACAGUUUGACCAGCCACAGGACCAGAUCAGUUAACCUACUCCCUUUACUCUGCAUCAAGUACCUAUCCCAGCAGCAGCAGCAGAGGUGGGGGCUCUGGAGGAAGCCAAGGUCGGCGCUCAGGCAGACAGCAGCAGAGGCGGAGGUUCAAUGCUGCAUUGCUUGUACUGUCAAAAAGGUUCAGGCUCAAUGCUGAUUGCUGAAAAUUGACAGUAAGUUUUAACAGUUUGGAGUACAGAUUAACUAAAACCUGACAUUUUAACUGAAUUUUACCUUCUUCUUCCUUCCUGAGGAACACGAGCUCUGGCGGCAGCACAAGGAGCAGGCCAGAGGAGCACAGGGGAGCUACUACUGGAGCUCUGCUGCUGCUGAUCAACACGAGCACGACAAGCGAGCAGUGGAUCAAUUUCACUCUGUAUAAGCUGCAGGAUCAGAGCGGAGUACCAGAGGCAACGGCGGAGGCCUUAGGGGUCGGGGUCGGGGAAUCGGAGGGCGUCGGCGUCGCCCACCAGCAGUGGCGGCGGCAUCAGAGGCGUCGGCCGCCACCACCACCUCAACUAGCCGGCUGGCCGAAGCGAACCAGCGUGGCGGCUAAAGCGGACCAGCGCGACGUAGGUGAGCGGCGGAAUAGUGGGUGGAGUGGACCAGCGCGGCGACGGUGGGUGGCAGAGGACCCACUCGUCGGUGGGCGGCGGAGGUCCUCCUCAUGGGCAGCGGAAGUCCUGUUCGUGGCCGGGCUCGGCGGCGGCUCAUGACCUUCUCCUGGAGACGGCUGGCUGCGGCGGCUGGCCGUGGCGACGCGGGCGACGGCGGAGGAGUAGGAAGGAGACGGGGGCUUAAUUUCCAGAGUUUUGAAAGUGGAAGGACUAAAAUGCAAAAACAAAAAACAAAUGUACUAAGCCCGCGACAUGAGGUAGUGUACUACCCUCCGUCCAGUGUCAAAAAAACGUCUUACAUUAUGAAACGGAGGGAGUACUUAACACCCUUGGUGCUUGUCUGCCUGAGCUAUCAACAACA